rnacentral:rRNA from 1 species
UACGUAGGGUGCGAGCGUUAAUCGGAAUUACUGGGCGUAAAGCGUGCGCAGGCGGCUUCGCAAGUCAGACGUGAAGUCCCCGGGCUUAACCUGGGAAUGGCGUUUGAAACUACGGAGCUGGAGUGUGGCAGAGGGAGGUAGAAUUCCACGUGUAGCGGUGAAAUGCGUAGAUAUGUGGAGGAAUACCGAUGGCGAAGGCAGCCUCCUGGGCCAACACUGACGCUCAUGCACGAAAGCGUGGGGAGCAAACAGG